rnacentral:rRNA from 1 species
CUACGGGAGGCAGCAGUCGAGAAUCUUCCGCAAUGGGCGCAAGCCUGACGGAGCGACGCCGCGUGGAGGACGAAGGCCUUCGGGUUGUAAACUCCUGUCACGGGUUAUGAAUGGCGCAGCGUGAACAAUGCUGCGAUUGACGUAAGCCCGAGAGGAAGCACUGGCUAACUCUGUGCCAGCAGCCGCGGUAAUACAGAGAGUGCAAACGUUGUUCGGAAUCACUGGGCAUAAAGCGCACGUAGGCGGCGCCACAAGUGCGGGGUGAAAUCCCACGGCUCACCCGUGGAACUGCCUGGUAUACUGUGGUGCUAGAGGAUGGUAGGGGAGAGCGGAACUCCAGGUGGAGCGGUGAAAUGCGUAGAGAUCUGGAGGAACACCGGUGGCGAAGGCGGCUCUCUGGUCCAUGACUGACGCUGAGGUGCGAAAGCUAGGGGAGCAAACGGGAUUAGAAACCCCAGUAGUCC